UUCCUCCUACUCAAAAGAGGUAAAUUAACGAAAUACUCCAUUCACUUAGUUUUAAUUUGUAAGGAAAUUCUCUAAGAACAUUCUUCAAUGAUAGCUUGAUUUGAUGAUGAAAACCACAUGCAAGAACAGAGACGAAGUAGAUGUAGAAAAUAAGAAAGAGAGAAAGAAGAAGACUCGAGUUAUGUGGUGCGAUCAAGGUGAUCUACAUCCACAGGAAGAAACUCUCUAUUAUGAAAAUCACAGGAAGUGUUUACAAAAAAAUGAAGGUAGGUCGAAGUCGAUUAACUCGAAACACUUGGAAUUCGAGCUGAGUCAUCAGCUUGGUCAUCAUGUCAGCUGCAUUAUCAGAGGCUGUUCUUCAAUUUCUUUAUAGGUGUUGAACCACGAUUUGAAAGGAGUCAUGUGGAAGGUACAACCAGAAUCUAACACCCAGUCAUGCUUUUCAAUAGGGUUGAUUAGGAUAGCUUUGUCUUGAGUGGAGGCAAGUGCAUCUGAAUAGGUAAUGGAGUUUUCAACGAUAGAGACUUCAGCUUGUUUGUUCUUUUCUUUCUUCUGAUUUUUCCUCUUAAGAGUGUAGCAAUCCUUGAUUAGACGCUAUUUUUUCUUACAAUAAUUGCAUUUAACCUUCUAUUUGAUGGAAUUUUCAUCAUUUGAUUGUUGUUUUGCAUUUUUCUUGUGACUGUUCUUUGUUUUCCCUUUUGCAAAUAAGCCUUCAGCUGUUGAUCUUUCUUUGUAGUAUUCAAUUCCAUUUCUCUUGUUUUCAAAGCAGAUAUGAUUCUUUCUAUGUUGAUUGUCUCUUUGCUAUAUUUUAGUGUAUUUUUUACUUUUUUAUAGGCUUCCGGUAAUUAGUUUAGAAGAACAAACGCUUCAUUCUCAUCUCCAAUUUUCUCACCAAGAUUUUUAGACUUUGAAACAAUCUUUUUAUAUUCAUCAAGGUUCUUCGUUAAAGACUCUGCAGAAUUCAUUUCGAAAGUAAAAAAAAAAAAACUCUCUUAAAUACAUUUUAUUAGGCAAAUCUUUUGUGAAAAACAACUCUUCUAAUUUAUUCCACAUUUUAAAUGUCGUUUCUGGAUCAAUCACCUGUUGUAAUACACUAUCACUGAGGUUUAAAACAAUCUUGCCAUAAGCUGAUAGUUCCAUAUUCUUUUUUUUUCCUCGUCUGUCUAUGUAUCUAGGAAUUUAGCAGGAUUCUUAAUGGCUUAAUGAGCCUUUUACUGGUCUAGGAUUGGUUUGAUUUUGGCUUUUCACAUACCAAAAUCACCUCUAUCAUCAAAUUUCUCCACUUCAUACCUUGCAACAGCCAUCUAUAGAUAAAUCUAAUGAGGCCCAAGAAUAAUUCAAAUUUUGGAAGUGGAGGACAGCUGUGGGAAUAAAUGGUUUCCAGGGUGCCACGUUGUUGAUUAAAAAAAAAGUCCUCCUACUCAAAAGAGCUUGAUUUGAUGAUGAAAACCACAUGCAAGAACAUAGAUGAAGUAGAUAUAGAAGAGAAGAAAGAGAGAAAGAAGAAGACUCGAGUUAUGUGGUUCGAUCGAGGUGAUCUACCCAUGGGAAAAAGCUCUCUACUAUGAAAAUCACAACUUACAAGAUAAUCUCUCUUAUUUUUCUCUCUUCUUUCUAUCCAUUGUGUGUAUAUUUAAAAAUGAAGGUUUGAAUCUUCUUUUAUACUUAAACAGAUUCAUUACAAAAGAGUUUGUCAAGAGAAAGUAAGUUCAUUUCAACAUUUUUACACAUCUGCACCAUACACUACAAGGAUAAUAAGAUUU